rnacentral:rRNA from 1 species
UACGAAGGGGGCUAGCGUUGUUCGGAAUUACUGGGCGUAAAGCGCACGUAGGCGGACUAUUAAGUCAGGGGUGAAAUCCCGGGGCUCAACCCCGGAACUGCCUUUGAUACUGGUAGUCUUGAGUCCGGAAGAGGUGAGUGGAAUUCCGAGUGUAGAGGUGAAAUUCGUAGAUAUUCGGAGGAACACCAGUGGCGAAGGCGGCUCACUGGUCCGGUACUGACGCUGAGGUGCGAAAGCGUGGGGAGCAAACAGG